ACUGAACGCUGGCGGAAUGCUUUACACAUGCAAGUCGAGCGGCAGCACGGGGGCAACCCUGGUGGCGAGCGGCGAACGGGUGAGUAAUACAUCGGAACAUGCCCAGUCGUGGGGGAUAACACUUCGAAAGAAGUGCUAAUACCGCAUACGUCCUGAGGGAGAAAGCGGGGGAUCGCAAGACCUCGCGCGAUUGGAGUGGCCGAUGUCAGAUUAGCUAGUUGGUGGGGUAAAGGCCUACCAAGGCAACGAUCUGUAGCUGGUCUGAGAGGAUGAUCAGCCACACUGGGACUGAGACACGGCCCAGACUCCUACGGGAGGCAGCAGUGGGGAAUUUUGGACAAUGGGGGCAACCCUGAUCCAGCCAUUCCGCGUGAGUGAAGAAGGCCUUCGGGUUGUAAAGCUCUUUCGGCAGGAACGAAACGGCGAGCUCUAACAUAGCUUGCUAAUGACGGUACCUGAAGAAGAAGCACCGGCUAACUACGUG
rnacentral:rRNA from 1 species